AUGUGCAGAUGAUGAUGAUGUGCAAGUAGAGCCUUGGAAAGGUUGUGCCUUGGAUUCUCAGACUUCUAUGAAGAUUUGCCAUAGUGUCUGUCAGGGCUCUCUUACGGAAUAUCUGGCUCUUUUCCGAAUUUCUCUGGAUUCCCAUUUAUUACAGUGGAGACUUCAUCUUGAUGAAGGAAGCGGCUAAUGAGUUUGCGCAUUAGUCUUCUCUGGCUGUUAUUGUAUAAUGUUCUCUGAUGACCUCUCUUUGUAGUUUUCUUCUGGACCUAUCUGCCUUCCAUGUUGUCAAUUACCUGCUUCCUCUUGGCCAUCAUCUCAAGUAUUUUCUUUAGGUUGACAAUCUCUUUGGUCUUCUCCAGCAGCUUUUCUGUGUAGCGUAACUGACCUCAAUUUGGAUUGUUUUCUUUCUUCGGUUCUUCUUUCUGGGUGAGUUUCUUGGUGCUUGUGUCUCUUCUUUUAGGAGUUGAGUUGAGUUGAUGGCAGGGACAUUUACCUGCUGAGGUGAGAAUGGCAGUUCUCUUGAGGAGGCUGUCUUCUUGAAGACUUUGAAUAACUUAAUUUUGCCUCUUGAACAUGUUGAAGUGUAUCGUCUUCCUCGCUUGAUGGUAUUAUGUCCAAUACAGCUUUUAGAUGUUUUUUCUGUAAUACCUCUUGAGUUUUCCCGCCACUGUGCUUCAUUUAUGUUGCUGCUUUGUCAGAUCUGGAGUUUUCUUGAUUUUACCAUUUUUCUUUUGAUAUCUAGAAAUGGAAAGGAAGCAUGAAAGGAGCAUGUCUCAAAACAUGGGGGAAAUUGUACUGUUAUGGACACGUCAUCUUAUAGUGAAGACUGAAUGGCUUACUGACGUGUGUGUACAUCCUAUAGUAGUGACUGAAUGGCUUACAGACUGUGUGGACAUCCUAUAGUAUCUAAAUGGCUUACUAAUUCUGUGUGUGGUGGAUGUGUGCGCGUGCAUGUGUAGACUUCUAAACACUGUAGGGUAUUGACUUCUUAUAGACACUGUGAGGGCAUAGGCUUCCUGUAGGCCUAUAUGCUAAUUACUCUUGCUGUAACUUCUCCAUCCCCUAACCUCUCUUGUCUUCUUUCUGUACUCUUCCAGCAGUUCUGGGUUGGUGUUAGCUUUCUCUGAAUUUUGUCAGCCUACAGUAAAGCUUUCUUUUUGUCACUUGCUGAUUGUCUGCAAUUAAACAGGACAUAAAGAAAAAUAUCAACAGUUAGUAAAUAAUAUUUCAAUUUAAUAGUUCAUUAUAUAUAUUAAAUAGUCUGUAUGAUUCAAUUCUCAUUACCGAAACAGAAGUUCUCUCUACCACAACUAGCCUUAAAUUGCAGUGGUAAGUGAGAAUGGCGUUGCGGAGGAUGAGGAACCGUAGCAUGUUUUGCUAACAAUGGAGAAGACAUGAUGACUAAGCACAUUUUUAUCACUCAAUGUACAUAAUUAGACAUUAAUGAAUUAUAUUUUCAUAGAUUUAAAAACGUAACAUUUGUCUAAAUGUGAGAAACUACCUGUAUCGGUAAUGAUAAUCAAUACUGUGGUGUACGCAGUCUGACGAGAUUGUUUAACUUUUAACUGGAGAAAUAUAAAGAUCUGCUUACCUGGUAGCCAUCUUGAAGGUACUGGCAGAUUUGCUGCUUCAUUCAAAAUCAAACGUUAUUUAAAAUUCUCUGUGUAAACAGUCCAAAUGUUGCGUAGGAUGAGAACAUCAGUCAUGGACACUUUUUCCACCAAUUUUUCAUUUUUAUACAUGAAUAUUCGGUUAAUAAUUUAUCAUUUGAAAACAUCUAUUAUAACAUCCAUUUAUUUUUUCAGGAUAUUUUAAUUUUACUCCGUUUUAAAUUACAACAUAACAACAACAUACAUUCAGACAGAGCUGGACGCGUUGCGGUAAUUAGAAUUGCAGCAGAAAAGUCAGAUCCGUAACAUGCUGCUGUUUUCCAAUGAAUAUGCCAACGUGAGGGAAACCUUAUGGCUUUAUUCUUGUGUGCGAACAGAUUUGAAUGACAUGAAAAUAACAGCCCUCCAUACUUUCUGUAGAUUUAUCCUUCUCCUAGAUAUCUGGAUAGCCAGUACACCGGUGUGCUCUGAAAUUGUUUGAUUGCAGAUAUUUAUAGGAAAAUAUUCUUAUUUUAUUUAAUACAUUACAAGCAUCGUUACAUGUACUGUAGUGAAAAUACACCCGCUAAAUCACUUAAUAUCUUACCGUUUAUUUUUAUAAAACAGCAUUUUCCUUUAUCCUCCAAGAUUGUGCAAUCCUCUCCCCAAGCUUCCUCUGCCUUUGCAGUUUCCUACAUUUGCCAGAAAGCCUCGCAACAUUCAGCUCUCUCCCCUGGUUGCCACAGUCAGAAUUGGCUAUAUCGUAAACAUUCAUAAAACAAUUUGCUUUUUGGCCUUAAUUUAAGGUUAGCAAUGUCGUUAACACGGGUGUGUUCAUUAUACAGUGGUCCCUGCAGCAUACUCUCAAACUUGUGUGAUUAGAACGCUUAUUUAGAACAUUGUUUCGAAACGUAAUGUCCUAAAUGUGACCAGUUUAUAUUUGGAUGCAUGCAAUGUUCAGACAUCCUCAGAAGCUGUGUCCGCAGAACACAAUCAUCCAAACCGGAAAAUGUAUGCUGCAUUAUUCUUAGUGUUAUCUGAGGAAAGAUUUACUUAACACAACGGUCAUCUUUGGGUAACUUUCGGCUGACAAACCAUAAUAUGAAUUGGCUAAUGGCAAUUACUAUUUACAAUGAAUCACAUCACGGGUGAGCUCAACAUUGAUCAAAAUCAUUAAAGAAAUCUAACAUGUCACUUUUUUUUUUCUUCCCCGUGUCAACUUAAGAUAAGACAUGAAUUUCGUCUGUUUGCAGUAUCCAUGUUGAAGAGGGUGUGUCUACGAUCAUUCCUUUCCUUUCAUUCAAAGAUGAGUGAACCGUCCCUUCACAUGAAUUUGUUAUAAUAUCUUUGGUCUGAGAUGUUUACGUGACACCCAGAAUGCAUGGUAUAAUGUCAACAAACAAGGUGCCACACGUAGCUGGCGAACAGCUUUGGGUUAGUACAACUGUCAAAGUAUUUUACACACAUCCAUUACAAUCUAUGCAAGAAUUGGAACGCAUCAUUUUUCACCAGUACUUAAAACUAAAUAUAUUAUGCUCCAUAUAUGCAUACAUUUGGUUAUGCUACAGUAGAAACAACACGAUAUACAGAAAAUAAGGCAUACACUUUGAUAGGAACAAACAUGUCCAAAGUUAUUAUACCUCUUAGGAAAACAAAGUCAAUGCGAGUGCCAGCCAUAAAAUGCCUUCUGGAACAUGUGAACUUUCAUGUGCCUUUUUAAUAUCAAACUAUGUAAUCUCUAAAUAUGAAUAAAAUUGUUAAAUUAUGAGCCUAGUUGGUUUAGCCACAGAAAGACUGCAACCUUCCCGCUAGCCAUGAUUAGCUGAGAUAACAAGUGGGCUCGACAUGCUGAGUGAUGAGUGUGGAUUGGUCUGCAGUGUUGCAUCUUGUCUAUACAAUGAGCUGCUCGUAAUGCAGUUUUCGAAAGAUAGAACUUUAACCACGGAGAACUGCAAAUAUUUUGCUGCUGCUCUCAACAUUGCUGCCCUGAAUUUAUCAGAUGCUAUCGACAAAGGCCAGUGGGGAAAAAAUUCUGGAUGACGAUCGUGCCAUGCAAUGCUGUCUCUGAAAAUAACACGUUUUGAAAUCGGUGGAACACAACCGGCCAAACAAGCUGUGUAAACUAAACAGAAACACAGGGGUUGUAGUCUGCCAUGAAGAUUUCAUCCAUGUGUAUACAGCAUCAAUCAGUAGAAUACGCCUGACUCUAAUCCACCAGUCAUACAGUUACCAAAUCUCACCAAGUUUUCCCCCCGACUGGUGCUUCGGCCUUAUCAAGCGGCGCUUCAGAAAGACCAGAGUGAACAAUGUCUGAGAUUUCUAGUGUUGUGAAGGACAACACUGUGACGGGUCAACAUCUCACAGCUGGUUGGACUGGAGGAUGGUACGGUGCUGGUGGAAAGCUAUGGCUGGCAACAACACCUGACUCCGUACUUCAGUCUGCUGCCACAGAGCAAGCAGUUCCAGCACAUCAGCUUCAAUGCUCUGGUUCCUGGUGUUGUCACCAAGGGGUUUUCGGGAGGUCGGGAACAUGUUUAAGCUUCUGCGCAUCCUUCCUCACAUAGAUAGUCUGCCUAUAAAAUCACCACCUGGACUGGACACAGCUAGACAAAUGUAUAUUUUUAACAAGAUCAGGGAGUUUUGCGACGAAGAAGCCAUGGACAUCACAUGCCCUGCACCAAAGUCAAGGGCAAGACUGAAACAGGCUCUCCAAAAUAUACAUUCUCUUGUUCAUGCGUGGUUUGCACGGACCAGUCAUCAGCACUAUCUGCAGUGCCUCUUAACAUGACUCUCUCCUAACACAUACGUUGCUGCUAAUAUUAAAUGUUUUUAUCCUGCUGCUCACCCACUUUACCCCUGAUUGUAUACAUAUAACUACCUCAUCAAUCACUGAUAGUGUUAAUAUAAAUGUCUAUUUCUGAUAUUGCUACUAUGCAAGUAACCAUUUGGCUGCACAGUUUUCACCGUCUGUAGAGACCACCCACUUAGCAAAAUAUUGGUAUGUGUGGUCGUAACAUACCACAACAAUAUUGUGUGACCGUAUCAACUGUCAUUUACAGAAAUAUUUGGCGCAUGCAUCUUUAUGUACUGUACAUGAGUAACUCACUCAGGUUGCAUGGCCUUAACUUAUGUAUGGAAUACUGUGAAAAGUGCAUGUGUAACAGUUUAUAAAGUAUGUAAAUGUACUGGUGUGAAAGAAUUUGGGCAGUGGGGUGAAGUAUUUUUAUUAAAGUACUUUUUUGUGGUACCUGUACACUA